GACGAACGCUGGCGGCGUGCCUAAUACAUGCAAGUCGACCUUAGUGGCGAACGGGUUAGUAACACGUGGGUAACCUGCCCAUCAGAAGGGGAUAACACUUGGAAACAGGUGCUAAUACGUUUACUGAUGGGUGGAACCCCGGGGCAUGAGCUAGUUGGUGAGGUAACGGCUAACCAAGGCCACGCUGUAUAGCCGAUCGGAGAGGGUGAGCGGCCACAUAGGGACUGAGACACGGCCCAAACUCCUACGGGAGGCAGAAGUAGGGAAUCUUCGGCAAGGGACGAAAGUCUGACCGAGCAACGCCGCGUGAGUGAAGAAGGUUUUCGGAUCGUAAAACUCUGUUGUUAGAGAAGCGGUAUCUAACCAGAAAGCCACGGCUAACUACGUGCCAGCAGCCGCGGUAAUAC
rnacentral:rRNA from 1 species